UACACAUACACACACACGCACACACACAGAGGCGACCUGAGCACAUUUUACGCGUCAGUAUCCAAAAAAAAAGGUGAACUCGCGCGCACAGCGCUGUUGUUUCCGUCCCAGACCGGGACUGGGGGGGGGGGGACGUGACUUUGCUAUACAGAUCGUGUGUUUUUCUCAGAACUACACCAGCAGAACAGUUUUGCUUGACUGUUUCAGGUGACAUGUAUUUGGAUCUUUGGAUUUCGACUUCCUUUGGAAAGUUUUAAGCCCCGAGAUCAUCACGGAUUGCUCUUUCCCUCUCUGUCUCAUGUCUGUGCUGAUUUUGUCCUCUUUUAACGUGCACUAUGACGCCCGGAGCGGAGAAAAGACUCGAGUCUCAGCUGAAAAUGUUGGAGUCCAUGAUCAGAGACCAUCGAUCAGCCCUCAAUUUGGCGAGUUUGUUGGAUUCUAUAAAUGCAUUGGCCCUUGACCUGAAUCACUCUGCGCUGAGGAAGAACAAAAACAUCGAUGCCUUCCUAAACAGAUAUGAAAAGGCUGUAAACAGUCUGAGGGAACUGCAGGUACGGCCGGAUGAUUUCGACCGCAUCAAAUUAAUAGGCAAAGGAGCCUAUGGUGCGGUGCAAUUGGUGCGGCACAAGGUCUCUAAGAAAGUGUAUGCUAUGAAGAAGCUCAGCAAGUUUGAGAUGAUCAAGCGCUCAGACUCUGCCUUCUUCUGGGAGGAGCGGGACAUCAUGGCCUUCUCAAACAGCCCCUGGAUAGUGCAGCUGUGCUGUGCCUUUCAAGACGAGCGCCACCUCUACUUGGUGAUGGAGUUCAUGGCAGGUGGAGAUUUAGUAACUCUUACCAUGAAUUACGACAUGCCUGAGGAAUGGACACGCUUCUACACGGCUGAGGUGGUGCUGGCACUGGAUGCCAUCCACUCUAUGGGCUUCAUCCACAGAGACAUCAAACCUGAAAACAUGCUACUGGACCACAGCGGCCAUCUCAAACUUGCCGAUUUCGGUACAUGCAUGAAGAUGGACAAGUCUGGGAUGGUUCGAUGCGACACAGCUGUUGGAACCCCAGAUUAUAUUUCUCCAGAGGUUCUGAUGUCACAAGGUGGAACUGGUCAUUACGGACGAGAGUGUGAUUGGUGGUCUGUGGGGGUGUUUCUUUAUGAGCUGAUGAUAGGUGAAACACCAUUUUAUACUGAGUCACUAGUGGGAACUUAUGGCAAGAUCAUGGAUCACAAAAACAGUCUGAACUUUCCAGAUGAUAUGGAAAUGUCUAAAGAGGCCAAAGACCUUAUAUGUGCCUUUUUGACUGACAGGGAGGUGAGGCUUGGCCGGACAGGAGUGGAGGAAAUCAAACGUCAUCCCUUCUUCAAGAACGACCAAUGGACCUUCGACACCAUACGAGAUACCAUGGCUCCAGUGGUGCCUGAGUUGAGAAGUGACAUUGACACAAGAAAUUUUGAUGAUAUCGAGGAUGAUAAAGGGGACGUGGAGACUUUCCCACCUCCUCGUGCCUUUGUAGGCAACCAGCUACCUUUUGUUGGAUUUACCUACUACAGGGAGGACCAGUUGAUGAGAAAGAAAGACAAAGUUGGAGACGAGUGUGACGUCUGUAUUGACGAUCUAAUAGAAAAAGGCGACUAUUCGGAGAGAUCUGAGACUGAUGACGUGCAGAGGAAACUGAUUAAGAUAGAAGAGAAGUACAAGCAUGAGAAGCAAGCUAAGGAUGAUCUGGAAAGCAAAUGCAGAAAUGCAAACGAGCGACUAGAUAAACUGUCCAAGGAUCUUGAAGAAGAGAUGAGUGCGAGGCACAGAGCAGAGGAUUCUCAGAGGAAACUGGAGAGAGAGAAAGCCCUGCUGCAGCACCAGAACACAGAGAGCCUGAGGAAGGCUGAACUGGAAGUGGAGCGAAAACGCAGCUUAGAAAAUGAAGUGAGCAGCUUGAAGGAGCAGCUGGCUGAACUGAAGAAGAAGAGCGUUAACUCACAAAUUUCCAAUGAGAAAAAUAUCCAUCUAGAGAGACAGCUGGAAGAAGUGAACGCAAAGCUGCAGGCCGAGGUGGAGGAGUCAAGCCGGGUGAAAAAAGCUCAGGCCGAGGCAGCGAGACAAGCGCAGCAGCUGGAGCUUUUACUCAGGGAGCUGCAGGAGCGACUGGCACAGCUGGAGAGCAGCCGCCUCGGCCUGGAGCAGCACAACAUCAGCCUUCAGAGUGCACUAGAGACUGAGAAGAGGGAGCACAGUCUCAGCUCCGAGACCAUCACAGACCUGCAAGUUCGUGUCUCGGGUCUGGAGGAAGAGCUGAAGCAAGCGAAGAACUUGCUCUCCAAGGCUGAAGGAGAGAAGAGACAGCUACAGGAGGAACUGACUGAUUUGGAGAAGGUGAGAAGUCAGCAAGAGAUCGACCUUACCUUCAAACUCAAAUCUGUUCAGCAGCGAUUAGAGCAAGAGGUAGAGGAGCACAAUGCCGCCAAAACCCGACUUGCUGACCACAGCCAACUCAACCAGUCUAUCGAAGAGGCCAAGUCUGAAGUGCUGAGAGACAUGGAGCGUAAGCUACAGGACGAGCGCUCGGCUAAACAGCAGCUGGAGAGUAAGGUGAUGCAGAUGGAGAAACAUCACUCAGCCCUGGACUGUGAUUAUAAGCAGGCACAGCAUGAGCUCCACGAGCUGCUCUCACACAAGAACAAGCUUACGGAGGAGGUGGAUUUGCUGACUGUGAGAGUGGAGCAGGAAAUGCAGCGGCGGAAUCUGUCCCAAGCUGAUCUGAAGGCUCAGAAGCAGGAAGUCAGUAUGUUACGCACCUCUGAGAAACAACUCAAACAAGAACUCAACCACCUGCUGGAGCUCAAACUCAGUAUUGAGAAACAGAACCAGGAGCUACGCAGGGAGAGAGAAAUAGCUGACGCUCAUCUGAAUGAGUUAAAGGAGCAGCUGCAGGAAGAAGAGUAUUUCACAAAACUAUACAAGACUCAGAUGCUAGAGCUGAAAGAAGACCGUGAUGAAAAGACUAAACUCUACCAGGACGCUCAGCGGAGACUUGAGGACCUUCAGGAGGAGAGAGAUUCUCUGGCCACACAGCUGGAGGCGAGCCUGACGAAGGCCGACUCGGAGCAGCUGGCACGCUCCAUUGCUGAGGAGCAGUACUCGGACCUGGAGAAAGAGAAGAUCAUGAAAGAGCUGGAGAUCAAAGACAUGAUGGCCAGACACCAGCAGGAGCUCAGCGAAAAGGAUAACACUAUCAGUUCGCUCGAGGAGUCAAACCGCACUCUGACCGUGGACGUAGCCAACCUGGCCAGUGAGAAAGAGGAACUCAAUAACCAACUCAAAGUCCUUCAACAGCAGCUGGAAAAAGCCAAAGAGGAAGAGAAGCAGAUUGACACCAUGAAACUGUCCUUUGAGAAGCAACUUCAGACUGAGCGAACACUUAAGAUCCAGGCUGUUAACAAGCUAGCUGAGAUAAUGAACAGGAAGGAUACAGUGCAUGGCGUUCUCCGUGUAGAUAACAGCACUCUGAAGAGGAAGGAGAAGGAAAACAGGAAGCUACAGCUGGAACUGCGAUCCGAGAAAGAAAAGCUCAACAGUACCAUCAUCAAAUACCAGAAAGAGAUCACUGAGAUGCAGGCUACCAUAACAGAGGAGUCGCAGAUACGUCUGGACAUGCAGAUGGCUUUGCACAGCAAGGACAGUGAUAUUGAGCGUCUGCGGAGUCAGAUAACUUCACUAAGCAUCCAUUCUUUAGACACAACUAGCGUCAGCAGUAUGAGCAACGAGCCAGACACUGAUGAGCCUUACCCAGUGCGCAUCACACAAACACAAUCCUCAGAGUCCAUGUCUUUCACAUACCAGCGAAGCUCCAAGCGGGUGUGUAUCGACACCCGGCCGAGCCUCAUGCACCCCCUCUUCCUUUCUGACCCUGAGGAAGAGGACGAUGAGGAAGAGAGGGGUCAGCCUCGGCUGGCUUUGGCUUGUGAGAGGCCAGCGGACGUUGAACAUGCAGAUGCUAGUCUGGAGGGCUGGUUGUCUCUUCCAAGCAAGAACACCAAGAGGUUUGGAUGGGAUAAAAAGUUUGUGGUGAUGAGCAGCAAGAAGAUCCUGUUCUAUGACUCAGGGGAAGAUCGCGAUCUGGCCAAACCGUUCAUGAUCCUGGACAUCGACAAACUCUUCCAUGUCCGACCUGUGACCCAAACAGAUGUAUAUCGUGCAGAUGUUAAAGAAAUCCCUCGCAUUUUCCAGAUCCUGUAUGCCAAUGAGGGUGAGAGUAAGAAUCAGGAAGCAGCCGUGGAGCUUUCAGCGACUGAGAGGACAGCUUACAUCUCUUACAAAGGCCAUGAGCUUGUGCCCACACUCUACCACUUCCCCUCCAACUGUGAGGCAUGUGCACGUCCCCUCUGGAACGUCUUUAAGCCCCCUCUAGCUGUGGAGUGUCGUCGCUGCCACGUCAGAUGCCACAAAGACCACCUAGACCUCAAGGAGGAAGUGCUUGCACCCUGCAAAGUGAACUAUGGAACGGCGAAAGAGUUGCUGCUGUUGGCUAGCUCUUCAACUGAGCAGCAGAAAUGGAUCAAUCGUCUUCUUAAGAGAAUCCCACGCAAACCAUCUACUCAGAGUGUUGCAGCCCCCCAAGAGCCUUCCGUAAUAACAUUACCCUCACCACUUUCCUCACCCCGUCUCUCUCCACGAAACUCGCCCAAACUCACCUCCAGAGGAGCCAUGAGAGUGCACAGCAAAGGCCCUCCACCCUCCAGCAAGCCCAGCUCUGGCCCCAUGCUCCGAAUCAUUCUCCACUGACCUCUGACUCCACUGACCUUUCACCUUCGCUCUGUGGCGCUGUCUAUGUGUGUUUGGACACAUGAUAGAGUUUGACCUGAAGGCCUGGGGAUGGUCUCUUCAUGAUGAUGAUGAUGAUGAUGAUGAUGAUGAUGUGUUUGACUUCUGAAGAUGUGGGAGACUGAAGGUUAACACUGAUGGAUCCCGGACUGGACUCAGCAUCACGUAGCAGGCACUGCAGUACAACAGACAAUGCAGAAAACAAAGGAAGUGUCACAAUGACACGUAGUUACAUGGCUAAUCAACACUGCUGAAGAUGUGCCUUUAUAUUCAACUUUUUACAACAAUAAUUGUGUGAAAGUGUUUCAACGUAUUAAGACAUGAUGUGUUUGUUAUGCAGUGUGGCUGUGUGUGAAUGUGUGUGUGUGUGUGUGUUUAGUCAUUUGUAUAUUCUGUGUCUCUAAGGGAAACGCUCAUGAGCGUUCAUUAGACACUUUUACAGUUGAAACGUGAUUUGAUGCUUCAGAUAUAGAACGUGGUAAAAAACAGCCGUAGCCCGAUAUAGUAAAAUGCACAGAUUUGCUUUAUGCAUCAUCAGUUCAUAACUGGAACCAUGUACAAAGCCAAAUAUGCCAUUCUGAAUAUGCAAUCCAAAUGAUAUUCUUUACCCGUGAUGUAUGUAGUAGAGUAACAACAACAAAAUUCCACUUGACUAAAUAUUUAAGCAGGAGACGGAAUUUAAUAGAGAAAAAUAAAUGCUGGAAUUAUGA